GACGAACGCUGGCGGCGUGCUUAACACAUGCAAGUCGAACGGAAAGGCCCUGCUUUUGUGGGGUGCUCGAGUGGCGAACGGGUGAGUAACACGUGAGUAACCUGCCCUUGACUUUGGGAUAACUUCAGUAAACUGGGGCUAAUACCGGAUAUGAGCUCCUUCUGCAUGGUGGGGGUUGGAAAGUUUCGGCGGUUGGGGAUGGACUCGCGGCUUAUCAGCUUGUUGGUGGGGUAGUGGCUUACCAAGGCUUUGACGGGUAGCCGGCCUGAGAGGGUGACCGGCCACAUUGGGACUGAGAUACGGCCCAGACUCCUACGGGAGGCAGCAGUGGGGAAUAUUGCACAAUGGGCGGAAGCCUGAUGCAGCAACGCCGCGUGCGGGAUGACGGCCUUCGGGUUGUAAACCGCUUUCGCCUGUGACGAAGCGUGAGUGACGGUAAUGGGUAAAGAAGCACCGGCUAACUACGUG
rnacentral:rRNA from 1 species